UCGUCUAGGAGAGACCUAGGAGACAAAUUCAAGGGGUUUUGGAGGUGGAUACACAACAAUAGUUGAGGAAUCAUCAUUGUAAUGUUUGUUCAUCUCUUUUCUUCUUAAUCUUUUGUAAAGUUCUCAUGAAUAUGGGUAACUAAUUUCUCUUGUUGUUGGGAUUGAAUGUAAAUUACUCUAUUAGUAUGUGUUUAUCUUGAUCAUGGUGUUAUAUAUAUUCUAGUUACAAAUCAAUAUUGAUGUUA
rnacentral:lncRNA from 1 species